UCCAGCAGCGAUAGCACGUUAAAUCCACCAGUUUCAUCUUAUUGUUUAAUUACAAAUCCACUGAAUCCUGUGGAUCCUCUCAUGUUAAGCAACAUUGCGCCUGGUUGGUACCCGGAUGGGUGACCAUCAUCUGGGCAAUCGCGUACUGCUGGCU
rnacentral:rRNA from 1 species